UUCUGUGUCAGCAGACAUCUGAUAAAAUUGGAACGAGACAGAGAAAAUUAAUAUGACUCCUACGCAAGGAUGACACACACAAAGAACUUUGUACAAUCCUUUU